rnacentral:rRNA from 1 species
CAGUGGCCGCGGUAAUACCGAGGGUGCAAGCGUUAAUCGGAUUUACUGGGCGUAAAGGGCGCGUAGGUGGUUAUGUAAGUGAGAUGUGAAAUCCCCGGGCUCAACCUGGGAACUGCAUCUUAUACUGCGUAGCUGGAGUGCAGUAGAGGGUAGUGGAAUUUCCGGUGUAGCGGUGAAAUGCGUAGAUAUCGGAAGGAACACCAGUUGCGAAGGCGGCUACCUGGACUGACACUGACACUGAGGCGCGAAAGCGUGGGGAGCAAACAGGAUUAGAUACCCCUGUAGUCCCUGUCUCUUAUAA